CUCAAAACUAACUAUUCAUCUCCUUCAUCCCACCGAUUCAGAGGAAACGGCAGCAGAUCAUGGUCACAUCUCUAUCCAGUAUCUCUCACCCACGAUGUGACACUAACAGUCUAGUAAUGGGUAUCCUUUUUUUUUUUAUCAAGCAUGACUGAACCGUGCUAAUCUCCACACUAUCCUGGGAGAGAUGAAGGGGCAUUCUCUUGCCCUAUAAAGACCGCAACACACAGAGACGAAGAGGCAGGGGGGAAGAAAAACAGAGACAUAGAGAAGACAGAGAGACUUGUGACCUUCCUCCAGCAAAAGGGAACUUCAACUUCCCCUCACCGUAGGUUGUUGAUCCAACCAACAAAUACAAACCCAGAGAAACCAGGAAAAAUAGAGAAAAGGCACAAAGAAGAGGAGAACCACAAACAGAUAAUACAAAAAAACACAGACGAAAAAUGAACAAACACAGAUAAAACAGAGAGAGGCCAAGAGGAACAAGAACAGAGAGAGACAGAGGGAACAAGAGAAAUAAAAAAAAAAAGAAGAGAAAACAAGCAGAGAAAAGCAAGAACAGAGGGGAAGUGAACGAAAAACAGAAGUAGAGGGGAAGAAAGUAACAUUGGUUAGCCAGCCCUCCAUCACUAUCGUCUUCGUCUUUAAGUAGCAGCUCCAGGUUGCUUUGACCUUCGAAACCAUUGAUUCACCUAGCCUUGAGUGGGGAUCCAGGUUACGAAACCAAGGUGGUUGUGAGGAUAUGUCUUGUUGAUGGUAUUGACAUGUUCCUAGCAUUGUUGGUGGUGGAUGGUUCUUGCAUGAUAGAUUAAUUGUAUGGGAAUUCAUUGGAACCCUUGUGAUGUUCAGGUGUUGAAACCCGGCUGGAAUCAUUAUUGACACUACAUCAGCAAGUUUGUCCUUUCCUCGCACCGUCUUUCUUUCUCUUCUUCUUAUUCUUGGCAUAGGAUUCGGUUCCUAUAGAUAAAGAGCAUACAUGAAACAUGCCUUUGGUACAAAUACUAACAGAUAUGUAUAAAGUCAUGUUAGUCCCCUGAUG